UACGUAGGGGGCAAGCGUUGUCCGGAAUCAUUGGGCGUAAAGAGCGCGUAGGCGGCCCUGUAAGUCCGCUGUGAAAGUCAAGGGCUCAACCCUUGGAUGCCGGUGGAUACUGCAGGGCUAGAGUUCGGAAGAGGCGAGUGGAAUUCCUGGUGUAGCGGUGAGAUGCGCAGAUAUCAGGAGGAACACCGAUGGCGAAGGCAGCUCGCUGGGACGAUACUGACGCUGAGGCGCGAAAGCGUGGGGAGCAAACAGG
rnacentral:rRNA from 1 species